GGAGAUACAAUCAAAUGGGCACAAGAACUACAAUAGUCAGUCAGAGCAAAUAGGUUAUACAUUACUGACUUUAGUUAUGUGUUACGAUUGGCCAGGGCACCCUAGCAUAAUGGCUGGUUACAGAGUACACGCAGUAAUAUGCUGCUUUGAUCUAUAAAAGCCGUACACACAUUGGGAUAAUAGCAUGUUAGCGUCAAGAUCAUAACUAGCAUAAAAAAGACAUGCUCAGGAAAGUAAGUAUUCUUGUUACAGGACUUACGCCAUCGACAAUGUUGCUGAGCCCUUUCCAGCUUUUGCUUCAACAACUUCCGUCCCACCAUCCUGUGUCCUCUUCGUGAGGGCCACAAGGUCCUCAUGGGACAAUGCAUUACUUGCAGGAGUAGCCUAUACAAAAUAUAAAGAUUGAGCUGUUAACUUGAGAGGUGGGCGAGAUAACAUACAACAGACAUAGCAUAAAACUAUGGCAUCGAUUGCGUAACAUUUCAGUGAUUGAAAGACAAAAGAUAAUAGCUCAAGAAUGGGAUACCAUUGAUUCCUAUCCAAAAUAUGCAUUCUGUUUGCUAAACUGACUUGCAUGUCUUGACAGAAGCAUUCAAAUAAUUGCCUAUACCUAUGCUAUAAAGUUCUGUUAUCACCAAGUGUUUACAACUUCUUUACUUAUGCACAUCAACUUGUGUUGCUAUUGAAGAGGAAAUAGAAAAAUAAAAGAUAAGACAGUAGGACCCCACACCUGUGAGAACAGUGGCAGGAUAGUGAUACCAGCAUGGCCACCAACAACAGGAACAUUCACCCCUGCAGAAGACCACAGCAACAACUCAGGUUGAAAGGACGGAGGCAUAAAAUCCAACAACAUAAUCUCAAAUUUCCGUAUGAUUAAGUGAAAUAUCAUCUUAAUACCAGUAACUGGCACGUUUGCCUUUCCAGCGUAGAAUGUUUUAGCACGAACAACAUCAAGAGUGGUCACACCAAACAGCUUCUUCUCAUCAUAAGUACCAGCCUUCUUAAACACCUCUGCCGCAAUCGGGACUGUCGAGUUGACAGGGUUGCUGAUCAUAUUGACGAGAGCCUGAACAAGCAUAAUUAAUAAAUCCACAAUUAGAUUUUUACAUAAAUACUGUAUAAUUUAAAAAAAUACUUCAUAAACGACGGUUGACAUCUUGACGUACAGUAGUACACACAUGAGCAUGCUUAAACUAUACACUGAUGUCAUGCCAGGCCUCCGGAGCCAAUGGCUGUAUAGUGUUAGUGUUAGAGCAGCUUUCUUUGCUUCUUUUGCUUUUUCCCUUUAUCUAAUUUCAGUUAGCAGUUAUAUAUCGAGUUGGAUAGAGUUUUUUUGUAUUGCAGUCGUGCAAGUUCUGCAGCUUCUUGGUCUCAUUGUAAUACAAAAACACAUGCAUUUUGAUGUGAAUGCGUGUUUGAGUGGAAAAAAAGAACUACACAUGGAUGUCACACCUUGGCCAUCGCAGUAUACAGUGUGCAAUAGGAUGGAGAAAGAGAGAUGAGGCCCAAAAUGCAAAACAACGAGUGAAUCAAAUUUGCCUCCUAGCAAACAGCCUACAGCAUUUGGGCAGCAAAGCUUGUAGACUUGUACUACCAACAACAAUCAUAUGCAGCAAUGUGACUGCACAGCCCCAGAACAUAAAUCGUAAAACAAGGCCUGAAGCAAGCAUGCUGUCUAGAAACAGCCUAAACAGUGAGGCAGGAAAGGAACACCUGACGUUGUAGUGGGAGUUGGGUUCAUUUUGGGCAAACAGAGUGCCAGUCAUCCUAUGAUGCAACUACCUGACUGCUCUACCCCAGAUCAUCGAUGAAUGCAAAGCAUACAACCGACUGGCAGUCGCAAUUAUGCUUGGCAGCGGCAACUCGGUUCAUUUGGAGCAACCCAUUGUUUUAGACUUGUACUGCCUACAACAAUGUGACUGCACUGCCCCAGAACAUAAAUGUAGAGUGUCAAGCUCAAACUGUAAUAAAACAAGGCCUGAACCCAAGCGCGCCUCCUCCUAGAAGCAAGCCUACAGCAUUUGUGCAGGAAAGUAACACCUGACUUGGCCGUGGCAGUUCAGCUCAUUUUGGGCAAACGACUGUUCUAGACUAGUAGUACAAAACAAUCCUAUGCAACUUCUGGCCUUCUGCCCCAGAUCAGGAACGAGUGCGAAACAUACUUACAACCGUAGGCAAUUCCAAGUAUAGGAUUGCCGCAUUUGGCAACCAAAUCUAGCUGUGUCGCCUCCACUGUAGUGCAGAUCUACAGUUGCGUGGCAGCAGGCAGAGUGAGUAAUGGGAGCUUACGUUGGGGCAGUGCCUGGCGAUGGCGGUGCAGAGGCCCUUGACGAUCCCGGCGUUGAUCUUGAAGAGGUCGUCCCUGGUCAUGCCGGGCUUCCGGGGCACCCCGGCGGGGAUGAUGACGAGGUCGGCGCCCUCCAGCGCCUCCCCGAGCUGGUCGUCCCCGACGAACCCCUUGACCUGCAGGNAAAGGAAGCAGCUUCAGCACACCUACUCCAUCUUUCCAUCGAAAAUAACAAAAGUUGAUGAAUAAAACUAAUAGCGUAGGCAUUUUCCCAGGCUUCAAAAAUGGGCUUACAUGAAGUGAAACAAAGCAUAUUAUGUGUGUUUUUUAUACCAGCCAAUUCAAUCACUUUGACACAGGGUGGGGCUUUUUUUGCAGGGAGACGCGUGAUAGGACAUGCCUGACCAUCUACAAGAAUGCUAAGUUGCUACAUACAUAAACUUACUAAUCAACCAAAAAAAAUAUGUGUCAACAAAAGCAUCUUGCAAGGCCUGUGACACACCACACAAUUCAACUCAAAGAGCAACCUACACUUUGGAUAGGUGCUUCCGAGGUCAGAAACAAAACAACACUUCUAGGAACAACCAUGUGAGAACAUUUCAUGCGGGGAUGAAAAGUUUGUAGCCUGUUUAAGCACUUAGCAAUUAUAAAAGAAAGAGAAAGUGUGGAUUCUGAAAUGAUAACUAAUCUGGUGGAACAUAAUUGUACCAUACAGGGACAACAGGAAAUCACCUUGGAGGCAAAGAAUGGCAACUCUGUUACAGUUGAUUGGACAAAAGAGCACUCUAUGAUGUCAGGAACUCCAUUGAGCCCCUUCAAGCAUGCGUCUCCGAAAACUGCACCAGCAUAUCUGGAGAAACAAAAGAUAAUAUAUAAUAAUGCAAAAGAUUAUGAUCCAAAAUCAGUAGCAUGUUGUUAUAAAACAAGAGAUCACUAUGGAGUUCAUCUACAUAGAUCGAGGUGGCCACCGCCUCAUUUCAGAUUGCAAUUUCCAGCUAAAAUGGGCAGAAGAGUACAAUAUGCUGGACAUAACUGAAUUGACUAUGCAUUUCACAUGAAAGCAAAAACAGGAGAUUAAUGGUGGAUUCAGAAAAAUCUUUAGCAAAGAAUGUUCAUUACUACUCCCUCUGUAAACUUCUAUAAGACAUUUUACGUCACUUCUUUAGUAACCUAAAAUGUGUUAAAGAAGUUUACAGAGGUAGUACUACUUAGGUCAGUCCUCUCAAAAAAUUCAGGAAUCAAGAGUGCAAUAUAAUUUACGCAAGUAGAGAUUUUAGUUUCAUGUAUACAGUAAACGUUAAACUACUGAUAACAGAAUGAAAACUCCUUCACAUACGUCCAUAUUUGGCAGUAAAGAACUGCUGUGGAGAUACAAUCAAAUGGGCACAAGAACUACAAUAGUCAGUCAGAGCAAAUAGGUUAUACAUUACUGACUUUAGUUAUGUGUUACGAUUGGCCAGGGCACCCUAGCAUAAUGGCUGGUUACAGAGUACACGCAGUAAUAUGCUGCUUUGAUCUAUAAAAGCCGUACACACAUUGGGAUAAUAGCAUGUUAGCGUCAAGAUCAUAACUAGCAUAAAAAAGACAUGCUCAGGAAAGUAAGUAUUCUUGUUACAGGACUUACGCCAUCGACAAUGUUGCUGAGCCCUUUCCAGCUUUUGCUUCAACAACUUCCGUCCCACCAUCCUGUGUCCUCUUCGUGAGGGCCACAAGGUCCUCAUGGGACAAUGCAUUACUUGCAGGAGUAGCCUAUACAAAAUAUAAAGAUUGAGCUGUUAACUUGAGAGGUGGGCGAGAUAACAUACAACAGACAUAGCAUAAAACUAUGGCAUCGAUUGCGUAACAUUUCAGUGAUUGAAAGACAAAAGAUAAUAGCUCAAGAAUGGGAUACCAUUGAUUCCUAUCCAAAAUAUGCAUUCUGUUUGCUAAACUGACUUGCAUGUCUUGACAGAAGCAUUCAAAUAAUUGCCUAUACCUAUGCUAUAAAGUUCUGUUAUCACCAAGUGUUUACAACUUCUUUACUUAUGCACAUCAACUUGUGUUGCUAUUGAAGAGGAAAUAGAAAAAUAAAAGAUAAGACAGUAGGACCCCACACCUG
rnacentral:lncRNA from 1 species